CAACCAACAACCGUCCUGCGGAGAGCAACACAUCUCGCGUAACUACGCCGCCCCGCAGGCCGCAGCAGUUUCGGCGCGCGUCACCGGGCUCCGCCCGGUCGCCGCCGCUUGGCCGCCGCCACAGACUGGAGCCCCGGGAGGAUGAGAGAGGAAGAAGUGCGACCAAUGCAACAGGCGCCUUUCGCUUUGGAGACGCUGGCAAACAUGUUCUAGAAAGUAUUUUCUGAUUGGUGACGGAUGUUAAUAUUGCGCUCGGUUCAACCACGACAUCAGGGCCCGCCAAGCACUCAGGUGGACAAGCGGUCAAUUCCUCGCUGUCGUGCAUAAUUGUGCUUCCUCAUAUGAACUCAAGCGAAGGAAUCAUCCUGGAAAGACCAACGAAAGGAACAUGUUGGACUAUAUAUCCUUCUACUGUCACUAGUCAACCAUGGAGGGCCAGUAUUGGACGGAAAAUCUUGAAAAGCAGACCCGGCUACACCUGCUCAACACUUGGUAUCAUUGACUGAAUCGUCAGGUGCACACAAGUCUCAGCUCAGUGGAUUGGAACCGGUUUCUCAGCACGCUUCAUGUUCACACCUGCUAGCCUUUUAAGGCUUUUUUUUUGGUUAAAUGUCAAAAAAUUCAGAAGUCAGGUCUUCUCUUCCGUUGUUGUUUUAAGUCAGGUUGUUGUUUCGUCGUUUGUUCUCUGAGGCCUUCAGUUGUCAGAUAACGAGGGAAAGAGUGCAGACACUUCUGCUUUGCUCGAUUAAUCGCAGUUAAUUGUCGUAAA